UACGGGAGGCAGCAGUGGGGAAUAUUGCACAAUGGGCGCAAGCCUGAUGCAGCCAUGCCGCGUGUAUGAAGAAGGCCUUCGGGUUGUAAAGUACUUUCAGUCGUGAGGAAGGUGUUAAGGUUAAUAACCUUAGCAAUUGACGUUAGCGACAGAAGAAGCACCGGCUAACUCCGUGCCAGCAGCCGCGGUAAUACGGAGGGUGCGAGCGUUAAUCGGAAUUACUGGGCGUAAAGGGCACGCAGGCGGUUAAUUAAGUUGGAUGUGAAAUCCCCGGGCUUAACCUGGGAAUGGCAUUCAAGACUGGUUAGCUAGAGUCUUGUAGAGGGGGUAGAAUUCCAUGUGUAGCGGUGAAAUGCGUAGAGAUGUGGAGGAAUACCGGGUGGCGAAGGCGGCCCCUGGGACAAAGACUGACGCUCAUGUGCGAAAGCGUGGGGAGCAAACAGGAUUAGAUC
rnacentral:rRNA from 1 species